rnacentral:rRNA from 1 species
UACGAAGGGGGCUAGCGUUGCUCGGAAUCACUGGGCGUAAAGGGUGCGUAGGCGGCCAUUCAAGUCAGAGGUGAAAGCCCAAGGCUCAACCUUGGAACUGCCUUUGAUACUGUUUGGCUUGAGACCGGUAGAGGUAAGUGGAACUGCGAGUGUAGAGGUGAAAUUCGUAGAUAUUCGCAAGAACACCAGUGGCGAAGGCGGCUUACUGGACCGGUUCUGACGCUGAGGCGCGAAAGCGUGGGGAGCAAACAGG